UUAGUAGUAAGUUAUUUUGGGUAAAGUAGUAACCUAUUUAUUUAAAAUUAUUAUUUGUUGUGGAGUUUAUUGCUCCUUCAAAAUAGCUCCCUGGAUUUAUCAUGCCACAUUAUUGUUAUAUCUAUUACCAAUAUGGUAGAUACGACUAUUAUAUAUAAUUAUGGUGAAUAUUGAACAUUAUAACCGGGAGACUCUACAUAUACAUGGCUGCAUACUACAGCUUAAAACAAACAUAACUAUAAAAUUGAAACUUAGCGGCAUCAAUAUGUGGAAACUCUUUAGAGCGUACAAUGAAUCCAAACAUUUUUAAGCUUGAGAUGUAAUUGAGUAAUAGUAUGGUAUAAGACAAGCAGCAGCAGAUCAAACAGGACUCCUAAAUCCCUGAAUUUGUCUGAACAGGCAUAAAAAACCUAGAGAACCGAUCCACCCUACUGUCUACUGAA